rnacentral:lncRNA from 1 species
GAGCUGGAGCAGGAUAAAACCAGACCGACUCGCGUCUCCAGGGUGAAGAAUUAACAUUUAUUGGUUUAGUGAGAUGAAUUUAUGUCCCAAUAAAGCCAGUUACGGACUAGACAGUGAUUUAAUGAGGUGCCUUUUAUAAAAAGAACAAAUAUGAACUUCGGGGCCUGGGUUAGAUUGUAACUAAUAUGUCACUUGCGAAACCACUUUAUAGAUAUAUUUGGAAAAAGUCCAUGAUAUUUCCUUAAUCCAUGAAAUUUGUGUUUAACCCGUUCUGUCUGUAGAAUUGGAAGUCGAAAGGGAAUACAACCUACAUCUCCGACCUCUUGAACAGCACAUUUAUUCACCAGUCCCAUAAGAUCAGGGCUCUGAGUGAGCCCGGAAGCCCAAGGAAUAAAGAUGAAGACAAAUGCACCAUAAAGGGAAAGAAAAGAAAUACUAAAACUAGCGGCUUCCCAUCUCCCACAGAAGAAAGCUCUACAUGACUAACCCCCUGCUUCUGAUCUCCUUCUCUGUUACCACAUCCCCGGUGUAUUCAUACUGCCUCCCUGUGUCUCAAAGGUGAGUUGUG